AGCUCCAAUAGCGUAUAUUAAAGUUGCUGCAGUUAAAAAGCUCGUAGUUGGAUCUCGGGGUACCUGGUCUAGCCGGUAUAGCUCACGCUAAAACUGGUCUGACCCCCCAACGUGAGGUAUUCGUCUCCGGGUGCACUUCAUUGGGUGCUCGUGAGGGGUCUCGUAGUUACUGUGAAAAAAUUAGAGUGUUCAAAGCAGGCUCAUAUGUUCGGAUAGUCGUGCAUGGAAUAAAUUAAAUCCGGGACGGGGGCUUUCCGUUGGGUUCGGCGACUGGUCAAAUGAUUAAGAGGGACUGCCGGGGGCAUUGGUAUGGCGGGGUUAGAGGUGAAAUUCUUGGAUCCUCGCCAGACCAACAAAAGCGAAAGCAUUUGCCAAGAAUGUCUUCA
rnacentral:rRNA from 1 species